rnacentral:rRNA from 1 species
AUUGAACGCUGGCGGCAGGCCUAACACAUGCAAGUCGAGCGGAGCGGCGGACGGGGGAGUAAUGCCUAGGAAUCUGCCUGGUAGUGGGGGAUAACGUCCACAAACGGGCGCUAAUACCGCAUACUAUCAGAUGAGCCUAGGCCGGAUUAGCUAGUUGGUGGGGUAAGGGCCUACCAAGGCGACGCUCCGUAACUGGUCUGAGAGGAUGAUCAGUCACACUGGAACUGAGACACGGUCCAGACUCCUACGGGAGGCAGCAGUGGGGAAUAUUGGACAAUGGGCGCAAGCCUGAUCCAGCCAUGCCGCGUGUGUGAAGAAGGUCUUCGGAUUGUAAAGCACUUUAAGUUGGGAGGCGUUACCAACAGAAUAAGCACCGGCUAACUUCGUGCCAGCAGCCGCGGUAAUUC